AACGAACGCUGGCGGCAGGCCUAACACAUGCAAGUCGAACGAGAAGCCACCUUCGGGUGGUGGACAGUGGCAGACGGGUGAGUAACGCGUGGGAACGUGCCUUUCGGUUCGGGAUAACCCAGGGAAACUUGGGCUAAUACCGGAUACGCCCUCCGGGGGAAAGAUUCAUUGCCGAAAGAUCGGCCCGCGUCGGAUUAGCUAGUUGGUAGGGUAAUGGCCUACCAAGGCGACGAUCCGUAGCUGGUCUGAGAGGAUGACCAGCCACACUGGGACUGAGACACGGCCCAGACUCCUACGGGAGGCAGCAGUGGGGAAUAUUGGACAAUGGGCGAAAGCCUGAUCCAGCCAUGCCGCGUGGGUGAAGAAGGCCUUAGGGUUGUAAACCCCUUUCAGCGGGGAAGAUAAUGACGGUACCCGCAGAAGAAGUCCCGGCUAACUCCGUGCCAGCCGCCGCAGUAAUAC
rnacentral:rRNA from 1 species